rnacentral:rRNA from 1 species
AGAGUUUGAUCAUGGCUCAGGAUGAACGCUAGCGGCAGGCCUAAUACAUGCAAGUCGAACGGUAACAUGCUUUUCGGAGCGAUGACGAGUGGCGCACGGGUGCGUAACGCGUAUGCAACCUACCCUUUACCGGAGCAUAGCCCGGGGAAACCCGGAUUAAUACUCCAUAGUACUAUAGACUGGCAUCAUGAAAUAGUUAAAGAUUUAUUGGUAAAGGAUGGGCAUGCGUACCAUUAGUUUGUUGGUAAGGUAACGGCUUACCAAGACGAUGAUGGUUAGGGGGCCUGAGAGGGUGACCCCCCACACUGGUACUGAGAUACGGACCAGACUCCUACGGGAGGCAGCAGUAGGGAAUAUUGGUCAAUGGGCGAGAGCCUGAACCAGCCAUGCCGCGUGCAGGAAGACGGCCUUCUGGGUUGUAAACUGCUUUUGACAGGGAAGAAAAAGUCCAUGCGUGGACAUCUGACGGUACCUGUAGAAUAAGCACCGGCUAACUCCGUGCCAGCAGCCGCGGUAAUACGGAGGGUGCAAGCGUUGUCCGGAUUUAUUGGGUUUAAAGGGUGCGUAGGUGGCAUAUUAAGUCAGUGGUGAAAUCCCGUAGCUUAACUACGGAACUGCCAUUGAUACUGAUAA